rnacentral:rRNA from 1 species
AACGAACGCUGGCGGCAGGCUUAACACAUGCAAGUCGAGCGCCCCGCAAGGGGAGCGGCAGACGGGUGAGUAACACGUGGGAAUCUACCCAUCCCUGCGGAACAACUCCGGGAAACUGGAGCUAAUACCGCAUACGCCCUUCGGGGGAAAGAUUUAUCGGGGAUGGAUGAGCCCGCGUUGGAUUAGCUAGUUGGUGGGGUAAAGGCCUACCAAGGCGACGAUCCAUAGCUGGUCUGAGAGGAUGAUCAGCCACAUUGGGACUGAGACACGGCCCAAACUCCUACGGGAGGCAGCAGUGGGGAAUAUUGGACAAUGGGCGCAAGCCUGAUCCAGCCAUGCCGCGUGAGUGAUGAAGGCCUUAGGGUUGUAAAGCUCUUUCACCGAUGAAGAUAAUGACGGUAGUCGGAGAAGAAGCCCCGGCUAACUUCGUGCCAGCCGCCGCUGUAACAC